AAAAGAAAAAGAAAAAAGCUAUCAUUUUCUCUUCCCCUUCACCGAAAUAUGCAGCAAAGAAAGGGUUUUGAAGCUGGAAAAUUUCAGCAACAUAUUUCCCUUGCUUGUAAGUGAUUUUAAUGUCUUUGCUUGAUGAUUUUUGUAUUUUUGGAACCCCUAAAGCAUAAGCUUUCAUAAGAGGGGAUUAUUUUGCAAAAUGAUGAAGAGUCUAGGGUUUUACCAUGAGAGUAAAUGUGUUGUUUGCUGUGUUUUUAUGGAAGAUUAUGAGUCCUAGUUGUCUAAUAAACAACUUUUGUGAAAGAAAUUGCAUGAAAAUACCUUAAAAAUGGGUAAAUUGCUAAGUUGUAAAAUGAGUUGUAAAUGUGUAAAGUAGUUGAAAUUAUGAGUUGCUAUAGUUAUGAAAAUGGUUCAUCUAGACUCAAGGAGUAAAGAAAUGUGAUAAAAAUUAAUUUACGAGCAUUGGGGAAAAAGUGCAAAUAUGCAAAAGUUUAGGGGUCAAAAUGAAAAUCUGUAAAAAUAUGAUUUUUAGACCCAUAUGAAUAUUGUGACUGAUUGGUAGGCUAAAUGUGAUGUUAUAGAUGAUGAAAAUUGAGAUUUGGACCUAGAACAGAAAGAAAUCGAUUUAUGGACGAGUAUGUCUUUUCACCUUUGUGGUAUCGAGGUAAGUUCAUGUGUAAAUAAUGUAGCAUAAUUGUUAUUUUUAAGUUAUUGAUGUUAAAUAUAUGAUAUGCUGAUUUUUAUCAUGAAAUAUAUGCUUUGUGGUUAUUUUCGAAUAAAAUGCAAGUUAUGUGUAUUAUCUGUUAAAUAUAAAGUGCUACCGAGUAUUGGUUUCGGUAUUUUACGGAAGAUGGCAAGGAUAUGUGUUCGAGGAAAAUCCCGUUUGAACCUUAGGAAUAGAUUAGGAUACAAGUGACAUGUCACUAGGAUGGUUGAGCAUCCGAACUCGUUGAGUUGAGUCCGAGUUCACUUAUGGAUGCGAAUGUUCGAACUCGUUAAGUUGAGUCUGAGUUCGUGAGAUGUAACUAGGCAUCCGAGCUCGUUGAGUUGAGUCCGAGUUCACUUAUGGGCGGGUUACAUGGUAGCUUGGCUGCAUAUGUGGCACUUAUGUGCAAACUUUCCAUGUAUCCGAAUUAUAUUCCGAUGUGUUCAACGGGUAAAAUUCUACUCAAACGGAGGAAUACUCGAGAUGAAAGGGACGUAUUGGUAAAUGUUGUGAAAUGGAUACUUUGAACAGGUAUGUACUUAACCCUUGGGUUGAAAACUCGACAUAACAACAAUAUGGUAAGAUGGUAAAUGAAAAUGUGAUAUGAAUGUCUCGGUGAUGAUUAUACAAACGAUGUUGUAUUAAUUUUGUGAACAAUGAUCAUGAAUGAGUAAUUUAGCCUUGACAGAUUUGAGUUACUGCAGUAGUGUAACUUUGAAAAUACACUAAAAAUAGUGAAAAUUGAGUUAGAGGUAGAAUAAAAUAUGGGAUUAAAUCUCAAUGAGUCUAUUUUCACAUGAAAGAAACAGGGGAAGAAAAAGAAUUUCAUAUUGUGUGAUAUUUGAAUUCUUGUGAAAUAGAGUCUGAAUGAAUUAGAGAUCAACUAUUCUAACUUUAGAAAUUCACCAAAAAUUGUACAAAAAUUAUUAAGAGUUAUACCUUACAUGCAUAGAUUCCUUAUUGAGUCUAUUGUUAUGGGAAAUAAACGGCAUGGUCGUUGGAAUUUUGUACAGGGAGAAAUUUGGUUUGUAGUGCACAAGUGUUAGAGUGGUCAUACCCUGAAAUAGGGGAGACUUUAACUAAUAAAAUGUACUAUUUUGCUUAACCAAAAAUUCUGGAAAUUUUAUGGAAGAAAGGAAAAUAAGUCUAGUUUCAGGGAAAAUUAACGGAACUUAAUUUGGAGUUUCGUAGCUCCAGAUAUAAAUAAUUUAGUGACUGUUGCUCAGGAAGACAGCUUGUAGUGAACUUGAGAAUAUGUUGUAAACAUUGAUAAAACAAGUUAAUGAGUUGCUUAUUGUUUUCAUAUGAACUUACUAAGCGAAAGCUUACCCCCCUUCUUUCCCAUGUUUUUUAGAGUUUCCAGGUUAGCUCGGGUUGGAGGCCGUCAGAGAUAUUAUCACCCUAUCGAGUUAACGUUAUCGGAGUAAGUAAACUCAAGUGAUUCGAGUCUAUGGCAUGUAUAGGGUUUUAAUGUGAGUAUGUAAUAUUAUGAUUUAGCCAAAUACAUUGGCUUGUUAUUAAGGUAGUAUUAGUUAUGUAAAUUGGCCUAUGUCGGCUAAUAUCGUUAUGGGCCCAUAUGAUUAUUCUUCUGCAUUUAUGUUAUUAUUUCUUGUGAUGUGGCUUACAACAUGUAUGCCUAGAGAUUGAAUUGAGAUUCAUUGAUGAGCUAGUAACUAAUGCAGGAUUAAGUGAUUGGUAAAUAGUUAAUAGUGCUUCAUGAAUGGUUUGUGAUGUAAUGAUAGUUAUGUCUAGUAUGCGGUAAUGAUAUGGGCAAAUUCUAUAAUAAUUAUUGCAUAAGAAAAUAACUUGAGCAUAACAUGUUUGUAGAUGUUUAAGAGCUCAUUUAUGUCACGUUGUAUGUUAUUGGAUAAGUAUGUAUCUAUGCAUAUGGUGUGAGAGUGAUAAAAGGCUUAAUAAUUAGCCUAUUUCUGGCCACACGGCCUGAGCACAUGGGCGUGUGAAGCCUUAACGCAUGAGAUUUUUUUAAGUUUUUCAUGAGUUCUCGAUUGGGUCCCGAACCACUCCAGAUGUAUGUUUUGGGCCUCGUAAGCCCGUAUAUGGGACAUAUUGUAUGUGAAAAGAAAUUUUUUUAACUAUUUGAGAUUUCAUGGCCCUGUUUAGUAUGAAAGUGUUAGUAAAAGUCAGGUAGCACCUCGAACCCCGUCCUGGCGUCGGAUGCGGGCGAGGGGUGUUACAUAUGGUAUUAUCCAUACUGAGUUAUGACACGUAGGUAUGGUAUUAUUCAUACGGAGCUAUAAUACUUAGGUAUGGUAUUUCCCAUACCGAGUUGUGAAACGUAGGUAUGGUAUUAAACAUACUGAGUUGUGAAUCGUGGCACUGAGCAAACGACGUACUCAAAUUCGUAAGUCGUCCCUUAAUUUGACAUGUGUGAGUAAGUGAUAAUUGAGGAUAAAUGUUGAACUAUGAAUUGAUAUUUGGGUAUUGAGCUCAAUUAAGUGAACUCAUCGUUUGAAAUUAUAUUUGGCAGGAAUUGAAUGUUUAAUAUUAUUUAUUGAAUUGGUUGUGAAUGCUUGGUAAGAUUGUUAUUAUGAACCUAUGAACUUACUAAGCUCCCAAAGCUUACUUUGUGUGUUAAUGGUUUCUGUAGAUUUGCGUGAUAUAGGUGGUUGGAUCAACAUAACGGGAAGCUCCAGAGUUACAUCGGUAGAUUUUGAAUACAACUUUUGAUUUAUAUGGCAUGUAUAGGACAGGGUUGAAAGAUGUAGUUUUGAAAUAUUGAAAUUUGUAUGUUUGAAUAUCUAUGCUCUGAAGUUAUUUUGGUAAGGUAAUGAAUGAAAACAUUUUGACAAAAUUAGGAUAAAGUAGUAUUAUAGUAUGUUGGUAGAUGAAAAACUUAUGUUUUGGUUGAUUUGGUUGAUUGGUUUGGACAUAUUUGUGUAUUUGAAGGUUGUGUGCAAGUAGAUUACAAAAAAGGUGAGAAAUGUGGUCUUAAAAUGGCCUAUUUUCGUCCACACGGGUUGACAUAUAGGCGUGUGUCUAUGCCGUGUGUGACACAUAGUAUGCCCUACGGACACGUGUUGUAGCCGUGUGUCCCCUGCACAUUAAAAUUUAAAAGCAGAAUGCUCUGAAUUAAGCACACAGACAGAGACACGGGCGUGUGUCUCAGUCAUAUGGGUAACAUGGUCAUAGACAAGGCCAUGUGAACCUGCACUUAAAUUGUAAAAUUUAAAAUAACCAUACGGCCUAGCACAGAGGCGUGUGACUUGGCCGUGUAACUUCAAUUUAUUCAUAGGAUGUAAGUCAGAGAUUUACACGGGGUCAGGACAUGGGCGUGUAUAAUCACACGGCCUGCCCACACGGGCGUGUCCCUAAGCCACACAGACGUGUGAGCUAUGCACGUGCGAAAAAUUUAAUAGUUUCGUGAAAAUUUCUCUGAGACUCAGAAUAAGUCCUGACUCGAUUCUAAUGUUCAUAUUGGGCCUCGAUGGUCUAUUUAAGGGAUGGUUUGAAUAUUUUCAUUUAUGAAUGGUAAAUUUGACUUGAAUUGAUUAUACAUACUUAGUUAUCCUCGAUAAUACUCUACAACCCUGUUCCGGCAACGGAUACGGGUUAGAGGUGUUACAGUAUCUUUGAUGCCUUUGAGCCUAGCACUUACGUGUUUUAGUAUGGUAUAGUUAUUUCUCUUUUGAGCUAUCUCGGUGUGGUGUAGUUCACUC
rnacentral:lncRNA from 1 species